rfam:Omnitrophica WOR_2 bacterium RIFCSPLOWO2_12_FTLL_63_16 rifcsplowo2_12_scaffold_4366, whole genome shotgun sequence.
UUGACGGAGAGUUUGAUCCUGGCUCAGAGCGAACGCUGGCGGCGUGGAUAAGGCAUGCAAGUCGCGCGAUCCCCGCAAGGGGAUAGCGGCUAACGGGUGCGUAACGCGUGGGGAACUUGUCCUGGAGACAGGGAUAGCACUGCGAAAGCGGUGGUAAUACCUGAUAAGCCCAGAGCCUCGCAUGGGGUGACGGGCAAAGAUGGCCUCGACCGCAAGGUUGCUAUCGCUUCAGGAGGGCCCCGCGUCCCAUCAGCUAGUUGGUAGGGUCACGGCCUACCAAGGCGUGGACGGGUAGCUGGCCUGAGAGGGUGGUCAGCCACACUGGGACUGAGACACUGCCCAGACUCCUACGGGAGGCUGCAGUCGAGAAUCUUUGGCAAUGGGCGAAAGCCUGACCAUGCGACGCCGCGUGCGGGAUGAAGGCUUUCGGGUCGUAAACCGCUGUUACGAGGGACGAAGUCCGGCCCGUCAAACAAACGGGCGGGAUUGACGGUACCUCGAGAGAAAGCCACGGCUAACUCCGUGCCAGCAGCCGCGGUAAUACGGAGGUGGCAAGCGUUGCUCGGAUUCAUUGGGUGUAAAGGGCAAGUAGGCGGCUUCGCAAGUCGGGUGUGAAAUCCCACGGCUUAACCGUGGAACUGCGCCCGAAACUGCGGGGCUUGAGGACGGGAGAGGCGAAUGGAAUUCCCGGUGUAAGGGUGAAAUCUGUAGAGAUCGGGAGGAACACCAGUGGCGAAGGCGAUUCGCUGGACCGUUUCUGACGCUGAGAGGCGAAAGCUAGGGGAGCAAACAGGAUUAGAUACCCUGGUAGUCCUAGCCGUAAACGAUGGGCACUAGGUGUUGGGUCUUUCGGGGCCCAGUGCCGUAGGUAACCCGUUAAGUGCCCCACCUGAGGAGUACGGCCGCAAGGUUGAAACUCAAAGGAAUUGACGGGGGCCAGCACAAGCGGUGGAACAUGUGGUUUAAUUCGAUGCUACGCGAAGAACCUUACCCAGGCUUGACAUGCAGGAAGUAGGAACCUGAAAGGGGGACGACUCGUAACCAGUCGAGAGCUUGCACAGGUGCUGCAUGGCUGUCGUCAGCUCGUGCCGUGAGGUGUUGGCUUAA